AUCCACUCAUCCGAUGAUGGACAUUUGGGCUGAUUCCAGCUCUUGGCUAUUGUGAAGAGUGCUGCAAUGCACAUUGGGGAACAGAUAGGCAUGAAGCCUCCGUCUCACAGCUGCAUGCGUAGUCGCUGUUGAAGCAGAUGCCUACCUAAUUUGACAGUCUUGGUGUGUUUAAACAUUUUGGAGUUUGCAAAUGAGCAUAUUAAGUCUACUGAUGGAGUCUUCGGGCAGUGCACAAUUAUAUGAGGACCCUGAUCCUGGAGGCAAAUCCCAAGAUGCAGAGGCCAGAAAGCAGACAGAAUCAGAACAAAAGUUGUCUAAAAUGACCCACAAUGCUUUGGAGAACAUUAAUGUGAUUGGCCAAGGCUUGAAGCAUCUCUUUCAGCACCAGCGCAGGAGGUCAUCAGUGUCUCCACAUCAUGUGCAGCAAAUUCAGACAGAUCCAGAACCUGAAAUGGAUCUGGAAAGCCAGAAUGCAUGUGCUGAGAUUGAUGGUGUCCCCACCCACCCCACAGCUUUGAAUCGUGUCCUGCAGCAGAUCAGAGUGCCACCCAAGAUGAAGAGAGGGACGAGCUUGCAUAGUAGGCGGGGCAAGCCAGAGGCCCCAAAGGGAAGUCCCCAAAUCAACAGGAAAUCUGGUCAGGAGAUGGCAGUUGUUAUGCAGUCAGGCCGACCCAGGUCUUCAUCCACAACUGAUGCUCCUACCAGCUCUGCUAUGAUGGAAAUAGCUUGUGCUGCUGCUGCUGCUGCUGCAAGUCUACCAGGAGAGGAAACAACUGCAGAACGGAUCGAGCGGUUGGAAGUAAGCAGCCUCGCCCAGACUCCAGGAGAGGAAACAACUGCAGAACGGGAUUCUUCAGACUUUUCUUUGGUAAUUCCAAAGAGAUAUCUCAGCAAGUACCUCAAAGUAUGUUAA